UACGAAGGGUGCAAGCGUUACUCGGAAUUACUGGGCGUAAAGCGUGCGUAGGUGGUUUGUUAAGUCUGUUGUGAAAGCCCCGGGCUCAACCUGGGAAUGGCAAUGGAUACUGGCAGGCUAGAGUGCGGUAGAGGGUAGUGGAAUUCCCGGUGUAGCGGUGAAAUGCGUAGAGAUCGGGAGGAACACCAGUGGCGAAGGCGGCUACCUGGACCAGCACUGACACUGGAGGCACGAAAGCGUGGGGAGCAAACAGG
rnacentral:rRNA from 1 species